rnacentral:sRNA from 1 species
GCUGGGCAUGGUGGCGCAUGCCUGUAACCCCAGCUGCUCAGGAGGCUGAGGCAGGAGGAUUGUGAGUUCAAAGAUGGCCUCUCAAAAGUAAGGCACUAAGCAACUCAGUGACAUCCUGACUCUA